rnacentral:rRNA from 1 species
GAUGAACGCUGGCGGCGUGCCUAAUACAUGCAAGUCGAGCGAACAGACGAGGAGCUUGCUCCUCUGACGUUAGCGGCGGACGGGUGAGUAACACGUGUAUAACCUACCUAUAAGACUGGGAUAACUUCGGGAAACCGGAGCUAAUACCGGAUAAUAUAUUGAACCGCAUGGUUCAAUAGUGAAGGACGGUUUUGCUGUCACUUAUAGAUGGAUCCGCGCCGCAUUAGCUAGUUGGUAAGGUAACGGCUUACCAAGGCAACGAUGCGUAGCCGACCUGAGAGGGUGAUCGGCCACACUGGAACUGAGACACGGUCCAGACUCCUAAGGGAGGCAGCAGUAGGGAAUCUUCCGCAAUGGGCGAAAGCCUGACGGAGCAACGCCGCGUGAGUGAUGAAGGUCUUCGGAUCGUAAAACUCUGUUAUUAGGGAAGAACAAAUGUGUAAGUAACUAUGCACGUCUUGACGGUACCUAAUCAGAAAGCCACGGCUAACUACGUG